rnacentral:rRNA from 1 species
CCUACGGGUGGCAGCAGUGAGGAAUAUUGGACAAUGGGCGUACGCCUGAACCAGCCAAGUCGCGUGAGGGAAGACUGCCCUAUGGGUUGUAAACCUCUUUUGUCAGGGAGCAACGCCGGCUACGUGUAGCCGGGCUGAGAGUACCUGAAGAAAAAGCAUCGGCUAACUCCGUCCCAGCAGCCGCGGUAAUACGGAGGAUGCGAGCGUUAUCCGGAUUUGUUGGUGUAAAGGGGUGCGUAGGCGGAAUGCCAAGUCAGCGGUAAAAUCGCGGGGCUCAACCUCGCUCCGCCGUUGAAACUGGCGUUCUUGAGUGGGCGAGAGGUAUGUGGAAUGCGUGGUGUAGCGGUGAAAUGCAUAGAUAUCACGCAGAACUCCGAUUGCGAAGGCAGCAUACCGGCGCCCAACUGACGCUGAGGCACGAAAGCGUGGGUAUCGAACAGGAUUAGAUACCCCAGUAGUC